AGAAUCAACGCUGGCGGCGUGCCUAACACAUGCAAGUCGAACGCGAAAGCCCCGAAAGGGGUAAGUAGAGUGGCAAACGGGUGAGUAACACGUGGGUGACCUGCCUUCGAGUGGGGGAUAACGUCCCGAAAGGGACGCUAAUACCGCAUAACAUCCUGCCUUUGAAGAGGUGGAGAUCAAAGCCGGGACCGCAAGGCCUGGCGUUCGAAGGAGGGGCCCGCGCCUGAUUAGCUAGGUUGGUGGGGUAAUGGCUCACCAAGGCAACGAUCAGUA
rnacentral:rRNA from 1 species